rnacentral:rRNA from 1 species
AUUGAACGCUGGCGGCAGGCCUAACACAUGCAAGUCGAGCGGAGCGGCGGACGGGUGAGUAAUGCCUAGGAAUCUGCCUGUGAGUGGGGGAUAACGUCCGGUAACGGGCGCUGAUACCGCAUACUAUUAGCUUCGACUAGGUGGGAUUAGCGAGUUGGAGGGGUAAAGGCCUACCAAGGCGACGAUCCCUAACUGGUCUGAGAGGAUGAUCAGUCACACUGGAACUGAGACACGGUCCAGACUCCUACGGGAGGCAGCAGUGGGGAAUAUUGCACAAUGGGCGAAAGCCUGAUCCAGCCAUGCCGCGUGUGUGAAGAAGGCCUUCGGGUUGUAAAGCACUUUAAGUUAGGAGGCGUUACCAACAGAAUAAGCACCGGCUAACUUCGUGCCAGCAGCCGCGGUAAUAC